rnacentral:rRNA from 1 species
CCUACGGGGGGCAGCAGUGAGGAAUAUUGGUCAAUGGACGAGAGUCUGAACCAGCCAAGUAGCGUGAAGAAUGACUGCCCUAUGGGUUGUAAACUUCUUUUAUAUGGGAAUAAAACGUUCCACGUGUGGGAUUUUGUAUGUACCAUAUGAAUAAGGAUCGGCUAACUCCGUGCCAGCAGCCGCGAUAAUACGGAGGAUCCGAGCGUUAUCCGGAUUUAUUGGGUUUAAAGGGAGCGUAGGUGGAUUGUUAAGUCAGUUGUGAAAGUUUGCGGCUCAACCGUAAAAUUGCAGUUGAAACUGGCAGUCUUGAGUACAGUAGAGGUGGGCGGAAUUCGUGGUGUAGCGGUGAAAUGCUUAGAUAUCACGAAGAACUCCGAUUGCGAAGGCAGUUCACUGGACUGCAACUGACACUGAGGCUCGAAAGUGUGGGUAUCAAACAGGAUUAGAUACCCGUGUAGUC